rnacentral:rRNA from 1 species
GAUGAACGCUGGCGGCGUGCCUAACACAUGCAAGUCGAACGGACAGACGACUUUCUUGCUGCUCUGACGUUAGGAGCGGAGGAGUGAGUAGUAAGUCGAUAGCCUCCCUCUACGACUUGGAUAACUACCGCAAGCCAGAGUUCCUACCAGGUGAUAUUUUGGACCGGUUGGUUCAUUAGUGUGAGACGGUUUUGGUUUCGCUUAUCGAUGGAUCCGCGGCGUAUUAGCUGGUUGGUAGGGUAACGGCUUACCAAGGCGGCGAUGCGUAGCCGACCUGAGAGGGGGGUGGGCGACAGUGGGAGUGAGGCGCCGCACAGACGCCUACGGGAGGCAGCAGUAGGGAAUAUUGGGCAACGGGGGGAAGACUGAUGAAGCAGCGACGCGUGGGUGAGGAAGGUCUUCGGAUGGUAAAACUCUGUUAUGGGGGAAGAACAAAUGCGUAAGUAACUAUGCAUGUCUUGACGGUAGCUGGUCAAGAAGCCCCGGCUAACUACGUG